rnacentral:misc_RNA from 1 species
CGCACAUUGCGCCCCUUGGUAUUCCAUGGGGCAUGCCUGUUCGAGCGUCAUUUAUACCCUCAAGCCUUGCUUGGUGUUGGGCGCUUGUCACGCAGCAGAGGCACUUUGCCUCUGCGGUGACUCGCCUUAAAUUCAUUGGCAGCCGGUACAUUGGCCUACAGUCGCAGCACAUUUUGCGUAUGUAGUCUCUGUAGCAGCAUCCAUAAAGCUGAUAUUUUUAUUUUUGACCUCGGAUCAGGUAGGGAUACCCGCUGAACUUAA